UACGUAGGGGGCUAGCGUUGUCCGGAAUCAUUGGGCGUAAAGCGCGUGUAGGCGGUCCGGUAAGUCCGCUGUGAAAGUCGGGGGGCUCAACCCUCGGAUGCCGGUGGAUACUGUCGGGCUUGAGUACGGAAGAGGCGAGUGGAAUUCCUGGUGUAGCGGUGAAAUGCGCAGAUAUCAGGAGGAACACCAAUGGCGAAGGCAGCUCGCUGGGACGGUACUGACGCUGAGACGCGAAAGCGUGGGGAGCAAACAGG
rnacentral:rRNA from 1 species